UUUUGCACAUUAAGUCAGAAUAAUGCUUAUUGUUUUGUUGUUAAGCCAGAAGAUGGUUUUGUUUAGUUUUUACUUGCACUAAAAAGUUAUUUCUGUUGUGACUGUGAUUUUUUAUACCAGAGGCUGCUGAUGUUGUUUGAAACCUGCACU